GAGUCAUCCCUCCCAGAGCAGGAAGAGCAGAGAUAAAACAGCAUGUAAGCAUCUCUGCAGUUGCUGUCCCCAGAGCCCACUUCCUGGAUAUUGCCAGCUGCCUGGACCAACCUUUCCGAAAGAUCAGCCAGGUCACAGUGAGGGUCAAAGGUGAGCCACGGGCCUCAGCAGCUGCUGAGUGGAUGGUGCGUGGGACUCAGGAAGUGACGUUCUCUCCCCGCCCAGCCCCCUUCCUCAGUCUAUUGCUCCGAAUCCUGGACCACACACUGCGUGCUGAGGCUCCAUCGCUGUGCUGGGUGAGGGGUGGAGGACUGUCCAGCUGACAGCCACCCAGGAGGCCUGCCCAGGAGACCCAGCCCAGCCUCUCCUUGGAACCUGAAGAACUCCAGGCAGCUGAUGGGACACUGGGGCCCAGCAGGAGGCCACUGGAGGCUCCAAGGGCUCUGAAAUGUUGAGAACUUCCCUGCAGGUACCAGCGAAGAGGGCAAGAACACAGCACUACUUCCUUGGAUACUGUUUCCCUCCUCAGAGGGGUUUUCUGAGCUGCCCUGGGUCCUGUGAGGAAGAUCUCCCCUUCCUGUAAAGACACCAGUCCUACUGGAUCAGGGCCCACCCGUGUGACUUCACUUUUACUUGAGUACCUCUCACAGACCCUAACUCCAAAUCAGGUCACUUGCUGAGGUACUGCAUGUGAAGACUUUGACAUUUGAAUUUUGAGGGGGCCACCGUUUAACCUGAACCACCAAGGACAGAGCCAAAGACCCUGGGUGACAGGCCCAGAACAGGACCUGGUGGAGGCUCUUCUUUAGGGGAGAGAGGGAAAUGGGAGCCACCACUGGCAGAGCCUGAAGGCAGGGCAGCCAGAAAGAAGCUGUGGGAGUCCCCACCAUGGAAGACCCUGCCGAGCAUCCUGUGUCUCCUGAAGCAGACCCUGACAUGAGGACUGGGGGCACGUGUUUAUUAAGGGCGAUCCCCGGAAGGAGGAGAUAACCAGGCAGAAGUCCUAGCAGAGUAUGCCCACGCUGGUUAGUGCUGCUGCAAAGAUGAGCCGAAGACCAUGAGAGACCUCCAGGUGGUCCUUCUGGGGAGAAGAAAUGGGUUUUGGCCCCAAAUCCUUCUGCUGCAUUUUUCCCCUAUCCCUGGGAAGCCAUGAGACCUCAAACCUGUGUUCCCAAGGAGGCGAGCUGCUGUUCCCAGGUGAUGAUAUGAUGUGCUUGGGGAAAGUAAGUGGCUGCCAGACAUGGCUGAGAGCUGUUGUCACUGCCGUCAAGUGCAUGUCUCCAAGCCAUAUCACACGGCGUCCCUCGAUGUGAGGCCACAUGGCAAGUGGGCCGUGGAUCUCCCUCUGCCCUUUGCAAGCACGUAAGACAGCAGAUUUUGCAGAUACCUUGUGGCGCAGGGGAAUUUCCUUUGGCCAGGUCUGAAGAAAUAAAGCAGCAGGCACCGAGAACAAAGCCAAGGCUUUCAAAAGACAAGGAGCCA
rnacentral:lncRNA from 1 species